AAGAAAGCUGAGCACAGAAGAAUUGAUGCUUUUGAACUGUGGUGUUGGAGAAGACUCAUGAGAGUCCCUUGGACUUCCAGGAGAUCCAACCAGUCUUUCCUAAGGAAAUCAGUCCUGAAUAUUCAUUGGAAGGACUGAUGUUGAAGCUCCAAUACUUUGGCCACCUAAUGCGAAGCACUGACUCAUUGGAAAAGAUCCUGGUGCUGGGAAAGAUAGAACGUGGGAGGAGAAUGGGACAACAGAGGAUGAGAUGGUUGGAUGGCAUCACCAAUUCAAUUGACAUGAGCUUGAGUAAGCUACGGGAGUUGGUGAUGGACUGGGAGGCCUGGCCUGCUGCAGUCCAUGGGGUCGCAAAGAGUGAGACACAACUGAGGGACUGACCUGAACUGACUAAACUACUGAACUUCAGGGAUGUUUAGUUUUAAUUUUUUUUUUAACUUUACAAUACUGUGUUGGUUUUGCCAACUUGAAUCUGCCACGGGUGUACACGUGUUCCCAAUCCUGAACCCCCCUCUCACCUCCCUCCCCAUACCAUCUCUCUGGGUCAUCCCAGUGCACCAGCUCCAAGCAUCCUGUAUCCUGCAUCAAACCUAGACUGGCGAUUCGUUUCUUAUAUCAUAUUAUACAUGUUUCAAUGCCAUUCUCCCAAAUCAUCCCACCUUCUCCCUCUCCCACAGAGUCCAAAAGACUGUUCCAUACAUCUGUGUCUCUUUUGCUGUCUCACCUACAGGGUUAUCAUUACCAUCUUUCUAAAUUCCAUACAUAUGUGUUAGUAUCCACAGGCGCAGGAGAGCCUAGAGGAGCCAUCCCACGUUGAAAGUCAGGAAGGGCGGCGAUGAGGAGAUACCUCUCAUCCAAGAAAAUGAGCAGUGCCUGUGCUUUGCUGGAGCAGCCGUGAAGAGACACCCGACACCCAAGUUAAGAGAAACCCAAGUAAGAUGGUAGGUGUUGCAAGAGGGCACCAGAGGGCAGACACACUGAAACCAUACUCACAGAAAACUAGUCAAUCUAAUCACACUAGGACCACAGCCUUGUCUAACUCAAUAAAACCAAGCCAUGCUCGUGGGGCAACAGAAGAUGGGCAGGUCAUGGUGGAGAGGUCUGACAGAAUGUGGUCCACUGGAGAAGGGAAUGGCAAACCAUUUCAGUAUUCUUGCCUUGAGAACCCCAUGAACAGUAUGAAAAGGCAAAAUGAUAGGAUACUGAAAGAGGAACUCCCCAGGUCAGUAGGUGCCCAAUAUGCUACUGGAGAUCAGUGGAGAAAAAACUCCAGAAAGAAUGAAGGGAUGGAGCCAAAGCAAAAACAAUACCCAGCUGUGGAUGUGACUGGUGAUA
ensembl:lncRNA